rfam:Ictidomys tridecemlineatus contig108608, whole genome shotgun sequence.
GGGGAUGUGGCUCAAGCGGUACAGCGCUUGCCUGGCAUGCAUGGGGCGCUGGGUUCAAUUCUCAGCAUCACAU